rnacentral:rRNA from 1 species
AGAGUUUGAUCCUGGCUCAGAACGAACGCUGGCGGCAGGCUUAACACAUGCAAGUCGAACGGAUGUAGCAAUACAUUAGUGGCGCACGGGUGAGUAAUACAUGGGAACGUGCCUUAGAGUCUGGGAUAACAGCGGGAAACUGCUGCUAAUACCGGAUAUUCCCUCCGGGGGAAAGAUUUAUCGCUCUAAGAUCGGCCCAUGCCAGAUUAGGUAGUUGGUGGGGUAAAAGCCUACCAAGCCUACGAUCUGUAGCUGGUCUGAGAGGACGACCAGCCACACUGGAACUGAGACACGGUCCAGACUCCUACGGGAGGCAGCAGUGGGGAAUAUUGGACAAUGGGGGAAACCCUGAUCCAGCCAUGCCGCGUGAGUGAUGAAGGCCUUAGGGUUGUAAAGCUCUUUUGUCAGGGAAGAUGAUGACGGUACCUGAAGAAUAAGCACCGGCUAACUUCGUGCCAGCAGCCGCGGUAAUACGAAGGGUGCUAGCGUUGUUCGGAUUUACUGGGCGUAAAGCGUGCGUAGGUGGCUUUACAAGUCAGGGGUGAAAUCCUGGAGCUCAACUCCAGAAUUGCCUUUGAAACUGUAAAGCUAGAGUAUCGGAGGGGAUAGCGGAAUUGCUAAUGUAGAGGUGAAAUUCGUAGAUAUUAGCAGGAACACCGGUGGCGAAGGCGGCUAUCUGGACGAUUACUGACACUCUGGCACGAAAGCGCGGGGAUCAAACAGGAUUAGAUACCCUAGUAGUCC